UACGUAGGUGGCAAGCGUUGUCCGGAAUUAUUGGGCGUAAAGCACUCGCAGGCGGUCCUUUAAGUCUGAUGUGAAAGCCCCCGGUUCAACCGGGGAGGGUCAUUGGAAACUGGCGGACUUGAGUGCAGAAGAGGAGAGUGGAAUUCCAUGUGUAGCGGUGAAAUGCGCAGAGAUAUGGAGGAACACCAGUGGCGAAGGCGACUCUCUGGUCUGUAACUGACGCUGAGGAGCGAAAGCGUGGGGAGCGAACAGG
rnacentral:misc_RNA from 1 species